AUGAACUCCUUAUGUGGCGACGGACAGCUUACGGAAUAAAACACCAUAUUCCGUCUGAGCUGAAGAAGCCGUUCCGUGGUUGCCGUGCAGGUGCCAGGCUAAGGGCCAGGCUAAGGGCCUGGAGGUGGAGAUACAAGCCGUUUCUGCCAUCGAUCCUUAUGGGGAACGUCAACUCAUUCCCUAACAAGUGUGAGGAGUUGGAGGCCCUUAUGAAGAACCAACGGGUCUACCGUGAGUGCAGUCUCAUGUGUUUUACCGAGACGUGGCUGACGGACAUCAUCCCGGAUUCCUGUGUGGAUCUCCCCGGCUUCACUACGGUACGAGCAGAUAGAGACCCGAAGGCGAGUGGGAAGAUCAAAGGUGGGGGACUUGCUCUGCUUGUGAACAAUAGAUGGUCUAAUUGUUAAGGGCUUGGACACACUAGAGGCAGGAAACA